rnacentral:rRNA from 1 species
AUUGAACGCUGGCGGCAGGCCUAACACAUGCAAGUCGAACGGUAACAGGAAGAAGCUUGCUUCUUUGCUGUAGAGUGGCGGACGGGUGAGACAUGUCUGGGACACUGCCUGAUGGCGGGGGAUAACUACUGGAAACGGUAGCUAAUACCGCAUAACGUCGCAAGCGCAAAGAGGGGGACCUUCGGGCCUCUUGCCAUCGGAUGUGCCCAGAUGGGAUUAGCUAGUAGGUGGGGUAACGGCUCACCUAGGCGACGAUCCCUAGCUGGUCUGAGAGGAUGACCAGCCACACUGGAACUGAGACACGGUCCAGACUCCUACGGGAGGCAGCAGUGGGGAAUAUUGCACAAUGGGCGCAAGCCUGAUGCAGCCAUGCCGCGUGUAUGAAGAAGGCCUUCGGGUUGUAAAGUACUUUCAGCGGGGAGGAAGGGAGUAAAGUUAAUACCUUUGCUAAUUGGCGUUACCCGCAGAAGAAGCACCGGCUAACUCCGUG